UAGCUAACCCCACCUAACCCCAUCUCAAAUAAAUUAUUCCGGGUUAGCUAAUCCCACCUAACCCCACCAAACUCCAACCAAACACUAUUUUCUAUUCAUAAUAACCUACCAUCUUUCUUAUCACACUUACUCCAACCAAUCAUUAUCCUUCUUUAUCAAUCAUUAUCUUCUUAUCCCACCUACCCAACCAAACACUAUUUUUCAUUAUUCUAGACUAACUCCAACCCUCAACCAAACACAAAAAAACUUUAACCCCACUUUAACCCUGAACUUAACUCUAUUCCUGGAAUAGCUACUUUUUUCUUAAUCCCGAACCAAACGGAGGCAUAGAGUAAGGCUACUAUCCUAUUAAUAGGAUUGGGACCCUUGUCCUAUAAAGUCGAUUUGAUUGAUCGAAACUUCAAAUUGAUAAUCGGCACCGUUGAAAUUGAUCUACACAAUUAGAAAUGUUUAGAAACCAAAUUUUGUAAUAUUUAAAAAUCAUUAUCAAGUUCAUUUUAAGGGUUGAAAAAUGAACGAUCAUAAAUGAAUAACCUUCUUAAAAUAGAGGUUAGACUUUCUCAAUUCAUAAUCAGAGUUAUCAAAUAUUAUCUAAAUAGUAUAAAGAAUUUUCUAUCAAAAAUUCAAGCAAUUUGGAUUACUCUACACCGUUAAACAAGCAAACGGCUCAUAUAGGCCGUCAAAAAUUGUCAAUUUUACGACACUUUGAUCACCAUGUAAAUAAUUUUUAAAAUUUAUGAAAUUUAGUUUCUAGAUAUUUCAAAUACUCUAGAUCA
rnacentral:lncRNA from 1 species